CGUAACUUCCUUGGCGAGAAGAAGGUUUGGCUUCUUCAUUUCUGUUUUGUUGAGCUGGUUUUUGAAUCUGUAGAUCCCGGAAUGAAAUAGUUUGCCUCUAGAUUCAGCUUUGUUGUUGUUAAAUUCGAUAAUGUUAGCUCUGAUACUUGGAUUAUGAUUGAUUUCUGAGUUUGCGAACAUUGAACUUACUUAGAAAUGUGUUUAUUGGAUCAUUAGGUGAGGAAGGUAGAGAUGUUGGAUGGUGUAACCAUUGUUCGAUCUGAGAAGGUCAAGGAUGAGAUCGUUCUUGAUGGUAACGAUAUCGAGCUCGUCUCUAGGUCUUGUGCUCUGAUCAACCAGGUACUCCUACUCUUUAACUAGUAGGUAUCAAAUUUGUGUUUAUCUUUCCAUCACCGCCGAUAGAGUCUGAUAAAGCAUGAGCAUGUAAAUCCUUUCAUUAGCUAACUUGGUUCGAUUUUUGCAUAUUGUUGUGUGAAGGAAAGCAUGAGCAAUUGUGAUUAUAAGAAUUCUUGGUUGAAAGUCUGAAUUUGUUGUUACAUAUAGCAUAGUUAGACUGGCUUGAUUCUUUAUGUUGUACUGUCUUAUUUAACUGCUAUGGUUUUUGUGAUUGUGCAGAAAUGUCAUGUGAAGAAGAAGGAUAUCAGGAAGUUUCUUGACGGUAUCUAUGUUAGCGAGAAAAGCAAGAUCGUAGAGGAAGAAUGAAUACUCAUAUCCUCCUCUUAGCUCCUCUUUCUUAUCUUUUGAAUGUUAGUUUUGUUUUAUGGACCAAAUCCACCGGUGAUGUAAAACUUGGCCUUCUUUUGUUCGAGAAUUUAUGAACUUAUGCAACAAGUUUUUGGAGAUAAUUUUAUCCACAUUUUCAUUCAUUUGCCAAAUUAUAUUUCUCGGAUGAAUUUUUUUUAAUUCGGAAGAAUGGGUUGUGUCUUUCAAUUUCAGACCAUUAUAAAUCAUUAUCUUGAAUAAACAAGAAUCGCUGAACAAAAGAAAAAAAUAUUUAUAUUUGAAGAUUGAAUAAAAAUUCUCGCCUUUUUUAAAAUUUGUUAAAUAAAUACAAUUUUUUCAUUGGUUUAAAUUGGUAACAAGAAAAGAAUUAAAGAAAUAACUUUGUGGGAGGAAAAAAAAAAAGAAAUAACUGUGUCAGAUUUUGUGGGUACCUAACCUUUUCUGGAGUGUAAUAAAUACAAAAAUAUAUUUUUAUUUAUGUGUUUUUACAAUGAACCAUUUAUUACGAAAAGAUGAGAAUCACGAUGAUAUAAUCAGAAAAAAUUUUCCGAUUAAAAUUCCGGCAUGAAUUCGGCGAAAAUUAAUACACUAUAGUUUUGGCAUAGAUCCAGUUUCCGGCAAGAGGGAGAGAGAUAAAACAAAAAUAAAAGUCAUCUAGUACUGGUAUGCAGAGAAAGAGACAGAGAAGAGAUCCGGUGAAUUGUUUAUGUAACGGCGACUAUAGAUACAGAGAUGCAAAUCAAAGAUCCGUAGAUAAAUGAUAGAGAAAGUAUGUAAUUUUGAAAAAUAACAUGAAUUGUUUUUCUUAAAAGCAGGUCAUCUAUAAUAAAUACAAUGUUAUUUUAAAAAAUACAAUGUUUAAAACAAAAAUACAUGUUAACCAUGACAUAGCGUAGUCGCCCGUCUUCAAUUGUGAGUUUCAGUAAUAGAAAAUAGACUAGAAUUGCUGAAAUAUCAUGGAAUAUAUACAAUUUACAAGGCAUCUAACAUAAUUACGUGUGUUAUAUAAAAAAACUAAUGUGUUUUUUUAAAACAUAGUGUGAUAUAUUGAAAGAUAGUGUGUUAAGCAAAAAAAUAGCAUGUUAAAAGUAAAAACAUUGUUGCAUGAAAUAAAAUUACACAAAAUUCAAAAAAAAAAACUUAAAAAAAAAGUUGAGAGGGAGUAUUAGAAAAAGCAACGAAAGAGAGAAACAUCUAUACUAUUAAUUGGGAAGCACUCAAACAUAAAUAACCUUAUAAAGUGUAAAGUAUUACAAAAAUGCCAUUAGUUUUUGUUUUUAAAUAAAUUCAUUAAAGAUACAAUAAUAAUCACAAAAUAAUAUAUUUAAAUAAAAAAUAGUAAAAUUCUUUAAAAUAAUUAUUAGUUUCCAAAAAAUUAAACUCACUUUCUCUCUCAUAUUAAUUAUGGACAAAAAUUUAAUUUUUUCUUCUAAAAAGUUGUUAACCAAUGAGAAUUAAAAAACUAAGAUUUAAUAUCUAACUAAAAUUUUAUCUAAACCAAUCCUAAUAAACUAUUCCAUAUCAAAAAUAAAAAGAAAAAUAAUAACAUUAUAAUUCAAAAUUAAAAACACUAUCGUUUAAAAAGUUUUAUCAAUGGAGGAUUUUAAGAUUGAAUUUGAAAUUUCGUAAAAAUAUUAAAUACAAAUAUUUAAGACUCAAUUUUGUUAUAAUAUUUUCACAAAUUUUGAAAUAUAAAACAAAAUUUUAUUUCGAAAUUUCUAAAAAACGAUAUUAGAUAUUAACAAAUAUUUAUAUUUACUAUGAAAUAAAUUCAAAAAUGAUAAAUUUAAAGUAAUUAUCAUUAUGGCAUUCGUUUAGAGAAGGUUUCGGAAAUAUCUAAACAAAAGAUUGUACAUAUUAAUUUCGAAAUAUUUUGUGUUUUUUUUUUCUUCUCAACCGGAUCUUCCUUGAACAAAUCCAUAAUAUAUUGCACACAGUUUUCGAAAUAAUGUGAACUAAUUAUAUAUUUUGCAUUCAAAACAAAUUAUGCAGCAAUAACAUAUCAUUUUUAUAGAGUAUCUCAAGUUUUAAUUUUAGUCCCAAAAAUUGAAUUAAUUAUGAUUAAACAAUGAAAAGAAAAAUAUACAAAAUUUAGCUAGAAUCAUUAAUAAGUUUGUUAAAAUAUAUUUGUAACUUUAACAGCAUACAUAUUAAUCCGCAAAAUUCACAACAUAUAUUGUAAUAUUGUAUGGUAAUUAAAGGUAAGCAAACAAGAAUUUGGAAUAUGAUUUUAAUGGAAUAAAAUGAAAAUAUAAAUUACUAGACGAGAUGGGAGGAAAACAUAUAUUAAAAAUCAAACUAAAUACCCAACUGGCAUGAGUUCGGGUUAUGAGCACUAUAUAAAAUAAAUUUGUUUACACACAUACGUUUUCAGGUACACAUACUCUAUUUAUGACAGAUAUGAGACCAUAAUAUUUUUAUUUUACGUAUACGUGACAGGUUAUGGGACAAAGAAUUUAUGACAGAUACCAGACGGUAUAUUUUUAUGUUCCAAAAUAGUUACGCCUAGCUAAUAUACAUGAAAUAACCCAAACUAAAAUCAAAUUCAUAUCCUAUUUAACAUAUGUAAUCAAACUGUUAGGACUGUUUAGAUUAGUUAAGAAAAUAAAAAUGUAACACCAUUUAACUUUUGCAACUAAAUUAAUCUGGAUCUUAAAAUAUAAUUAUGCAUUAACGCAACUGAAUUUUGUUCAUUACUCUAACUUUAUAAUAUUUAUACUAUUACGAAGUUCACUAACACAACAAAAUAUUUUAUAUUUUUAAAAUCUAUAUAACGAUUUCUAUAAAAAUAUCUCUACACGUAUGUGGAUUCAGAUGUAAUAUACUAAAAUAUAUAUCAUAAAAAGUUAAAAACAACAAAAUAAUCUAUACUGAAUUAAAAUUUGUUAGAAAUUUUUUAAAAUAUGAAACCCCGCACGUACGUGCGGGUCAUGAUCUAGUAUCUAUCUAUGUGAGUUGAGAAGAAAAAAAUUUGGGAUGAGAGAGAGAAAAGAUAUAAGAAUAAGAGAUGCUAUGGAAAAUGAUAUCGAUGUGGAGAGAGAGACAUGAUAUGCGCUAAAAAAAAAUAGACAUGAUGUGCAAAUUUUGAUAUAUAUGUAAUUAAUUAUGUAAACAUUGUACCUCAUGUUUACUUUUAAUCAAUUUAUUUAUAUUGACAAAAAAUGAUUCACAAAUCACAAUGAUGGAUCUUGUUGUUAAAUUAUUUAACUAAAAAUUAUAUUAAAGUAGAUUAGGACCGUCUGAUGUGUGGGUUUUAAAUUUUUUUAAUUACAUUCUUUGAAAAUAUAUAUAUAUAUAUAUAUAUAAUCUUUAAGUUAGAGAAGAUAAUUAUAUAUAUAUACAUACAUAUAUAUAUAUAUAUAUAUAUAUAUAUAUAUAUAUAUAUAUAUUCUUCAAUUCAAAAAAAAUGUUAUUUAUAUGUUCGUUUUGCUUUAACUUAUUUGCAACUUUAUAUUUUAAAUUUAUUGUAAGAUUUAUUACAAUAAACUAUUACAUUUAAAUUACCAAUCUUCAAAUCUUUUGCCAUAUAUUCAUCAUUAUUUUUAUUGUCAAAUCUCGAGAACGUAGUUUAGCAAUUUCGCGUAAAUGAUUCUACUACUUGAGAAACUGUUUUACAUGCAAAUCAUCGGUAAGCUUAUUUCAAUCCAUUUACAAAUCUACUAUCUACAUUACAACUAAAAAAUGUAUCUAUGAACACAUUAAGCCUAUCCAUUUCAAUCCAAUCAUAUUUUACUAUUGAAAUAUGUUUUCUAUCACCACCUACAAAAUGUAUCUAUGAACACAUUAAUCCAAUUAUAUGUCUUAUUUUUUUAUGUCCAACUAUAUGUCUCUUCAUUUGUACUUUUGCAUGGUUUCUUUAACCACUAAAUUUUUUGAGUUAAAGAAUAUUUUGAAUAAAAAAUUAUAUCAUAUAGCAAUAAUUUAUGAUGUAUUUAUAAAAAAUUAAAAUAAAUAAAAACUAUUUGAUUAGAAUGCGUUUAUGACCAACCAAUAAACUAAAAGUUGAGAAAUUAAAAGAAAUUAAUUUGACAUAACUAAAAAGAAUAGAAAACUAUAAACACGAUAAUAUAUGAGUCUUAGAUAAUUCAAAGAUAGAAAUAUAAAUUAAAAUAAACAAUCUAAAAAUUCAACCAUUAAAUUAUAAAUAUUAGGAAAAUAAAUAGCAUAUAUUGAUCUUACCUACUAACUAUAAAAGAAAAUUCAAAAAUAUAAAAAAAUUAUUUUAAAUCAACAAAAAAUUGAAAUAUAUAAUGUAACUACUAACUUUGAAAAUCAAACUUUAUCUAAUAAGAUUAUAAAGUAUUAUAUACUCAUAAUUUAAUCUAAUAUUUUUAGGUUGAAUUCUCUUUUUUUUUUGUCUUUAAAGCAAAAAAAAAAUUAUGAGUAUUCCUCUUGGAUCUUUUUCUUUCGGUUUGUUAGCUGCUAAAGUUUACCGUGACGGAGGCGCCCUCUAUGGAGACGAUGGCAAGUGUUUUGGGAUGCAUUGCUUUCAAACCACUUUUAUAAUAUUUAUACUAUUACGAAGUUCACUAACACAACAAAAUAUUUUAUAUUUUUAAAAUCUAUAUAACGAUUUCUAUAAAAAUAUCUCUACACGUAUGUGGAUUCAGAUCUAAUAUACUAAAAUAUAUAUCAUAAAAAGUUAAAAACAACAAAAUAAUCUAUACUGAAUUAAAAUUUGUUAGAAAUUUUUUAAAAUAUGAAACCCCGCACGUACGUGCGGGUCAUGAUCUAGUAUCUAUCUAUGUGAGUUGAGAAGAAAAAAAUUCGGGAUGAGAGAGAGAAAAGAUAUAAGAAUAAGAGAUGCUAUGGAAACUAAUAUCGAUGUGGAGAGAGAGACAUGAUAUGCGCUGAAAAAAAAUAGACAUGAUGUGCAAAUUUUGAUCUAUAUGUAAUUAAUUAUGUAAACAUUGUACCUCAUGUUUACUUUUAAUCAAUUUAUUUAUAUUGACAAAAAAUGAUUCGGAAAGCACAAUGAUGGAUCUUGUUGUUAAAUUAUUUAACUAAAAAUUAUAUUAAAGUAGAUUAGGACCGUGUGAUGUGUGGGUUUUAAAUUUUUUUAAUUACAUUCUUUGAAAAUAUAUAUAUAUAUAUAUAUAUAUAUAUAUAUAAUCUUUAAGUUAGAGAAGAUAAUUAUAUAUAUAUACAUACAUAUAUAUAUAUAUAUAUAUAUAUUCUUCAAUUCAAAAAAAAUGUUAUUUAUAUGUUCGUUUUGCUUUAACUUAUUUGCAACUUUAUAUUUUAAAUUUAUUGUAAGAUUUAUUACAAUAAACUAGUACAUUUAAAUUACCAAUCUUCAAAUCUUUUGCCAUAUAUUCAUCAUUAUUUUUAUUGUCAAAUCUCGAGAACGUAGUUUAGCAAUUUCGCGUAAAUGAUUCUACUACUUGAAAAACUGUUUUACAUGCAAAUCAUCGGUAAGCUUAUUUCAAUCCAUUUACAAAUCUACUAUCUACAUUACAACUAAAAAAUGUAUCUAUGAACACAUUAAGCCUAUCCAUUUCAAUCCAAUCAUAUUUUACUAUUGAAAUAUGUUUUCUAUCACCACCUACAAAAUGUAUCUAUGAACAUAUUAAUCCAAUUAUAUGUCUUAUUUUUUUAUGUCCAACUAUAUGUCUCUUCAUUUUUACUUUUGCAUGGUUUCUUUAACCACUAAAUUUUUUGACUUAAAGAAUAUUUUGAAUAAAAAAUUAUAUCAUAUAGCAAUAAUUUAUGAUGUAUUUAUAAAAAAUUAAAAUAAAUAAAAACUACUUGAUUAGAAUGCGUUUAUGACCAACCAAUAAACUAAAAGUUGAGAAAUUAAAAGAAAUUAAUUUGACGUAACUAAAAAGAAUAGAAAACUAUAAACACGAUAAUAUAUGAGUCUUAGAUAAUUCAAAGAUAGAAAUAUAAAUUAAAAUAAACAAUCUAAAAAUUCAACCAUUAAAUUAUAAAUAUUAGGAAAAUAAAUAGCAUAUAUUGAUCUUACCUACUAACUAUAAAAGAAAAUUCAAAAAUAUAAAAAAAUUAUUUUAAAUCAACAAAAAAUUAAAAUAUAUAAUGUAACUACUAACUUUGAAAAUCAAACUUUAUCUAAUAAGAUUAUAAAGUAUUAUAUACUCAUAAUUUAAUCUAAUAUUUUUAGGUUGAAUUCUCUUUUUUUUUUUGUCUUUAAAGCAAAAAAAAAAUUAUGAGUAUUCCUCUUGGAUCUUUUUCUUUCGGUUUGUUAGCUGCUAAAGUUUACCGUGACGGAGGCGCCCUCUAUGGAGACGAUGGCAAGUGUUUUGGGAUGCAUUGCUUUCAAACCACUUUUAUAAUAUUUAUACUAUUACGAAGUUCACUAACACAACAAAAUAUUUUAUAUUUUUAAAAUCUAUAUAACGAUUUCUAUAAAAAUAUCUCUACACGUAUGUGGAUUCAGAUCUAAUAUACUAAAAUAUAUAUCAUAAAAAGUUAAAAACAACAAAAUAAUCUAUACUGAAUUAAAAUUUGUUAGAAAUUUUUUAAAAUAUGAAACCCCGCACGUACGUGCGGGUCAUGAUCUAGUAUCUAACUAUGUGAGUUGAGAAGAAAAAAAUUCGGGAUGAGAGAGAGAAAAGAUAUAAGAAUAAGAGAUGCUAUGGAAACUGAUAUCGAUGUGGAGAGAGAGACAUGAUAUGCGCUGAAAAAAAAUAGACAUGAUGUGCAAAUUUUGAUCUAUAUGUAAUUAAUUAUGUAAACAUUGUACCUCAUGUUUACUUUUAAUCAAUUUAUUUAUAUUGACAAAAAAUGAUUCACAAAUCACAAUGAUGGAUCUUGUUGUUAAAUUAUUUAACUAAAAAUUAUAUUAAAGUAGAUUAGGACCGUGUGAUGUGUGGGUUUUAAAUUUAUUUAAUUACAUUCUUUGAAAAUAUAUAUAUAUAUAUAUAUAUAUAUAUAUAUAUAUAAUCUUUAAGUUAGAGAAGAUAAUUAUAUAUAUAUAUACAUAUAUAUAUAUAUAUAUAUAUUCUUCAAUUCAAAAAAAUGUUAUUUAUAUGUUCGUUUUGCUUUAACUUAUUUGCAACUUUAUAUUUUAAAUUUAUUGUAAGAUUUAUUACAAUAAACUAGUACAUUUAAAUUACCAAUCUUCAAAUCUUUUGCCAUAUAUUCAUCAUUAUUUUUAUUGUCAAAUCUCGAGAACGUAGUUUAGCAAUUUCGCGUAAAUGAUUCUACUACUUGAGAAACUGUUUUACAUGCAAAUCAUCGGUAAGCUUAUUUCAAUCUAUUUACAAAUCUACUAUCUACAUUACAACUAAAAAAUGUAUCUAUGAACACAUUAAGCCUAUCCAUUUCAAUCCAAUCAUAUUUUACUAUUGAAAUAUGUUUUCUAUCACCACCUACAAAAUGUAUCUAUGAACACAUUAAUCCAAUUAUAUGUCUUAUUUUUUAUGUCCAACUAUAUGUCUCUUCAUUUUUACUUUUGCAUGGUUUCUUUAACCACUAAAUUUUUUGACUUAAAGAAUAUUUUGAAUAAAAAAUUAUAUCAUAUAGCAAUAAUUUAUGAUGUAGUUAUAAAAAUUAAAAUAAAUAAAAACUACUUGAUUAGAAUGCGUUUAUGACCAACCAAUAAACUAAAAGUUGAGAAAUUAAAAGAAAUUAAUUUGACAUAACUAAAAAGAACAGAAAACUAUAAACACGAUAAUAUAUGAGUCUUAGAUAAUUCAAAGAUAGAAAUAUAAAUUAAAAUAAACAAUCUAAAAUUCAACCAUUAAAUUAUAAAUAUUAGGAAAAUAAAUAGCAUAUAUUGAUCUUACCUACUAACUAUAAAAGAAAAUUCAAAAAUAUAAAAAAAUUAUUUUAAAUCAACAAAAAAUUGAAAUAUAUAAUGUAACUACUAACUUUGAAAAUCAAACUUUAUCUAAUAAGAUUAUAAAGUAUUAUAUACUCAUAAUUUAAUCUAAUAUUAUUAGGUUGAAUUUUUUUUUUGUCUUUAAAGCAAAAAAAAAUUAUUAUUGGGUCGUGCCGAAAACGGACUGCUUCCAAAUGGACCGGGCCAGCCCACAGACUAACUCAUUUACAUAUAGGAAACCCUAGGGUUUCUUCUAUCCUUUCUUUCUCUAAAAGCCGCCGGCGAGAGAGAGAGCAAAACAAAAGAUUGGAAAAGAUGAAGACGAUUCUUUCUUCUGAGACGAUGGAUAUCCCCGACAGCGUUACCAUCAAGGUUCACGCUAAAGUGAUCGAAGUCGAAGGACCUCGCGGGAAGCUUGUUCGCGAUUUCAAGCAUCUCAACCUCGAUUUCCAGCUGAUCAAGGACCCUGAGACUGGGAAGAAGAUGCUUAAGAUCGAUUCGUGGUUUGGAUCACGCAAAACCAGCGCCUCCAUCAGAACCGCUCUUAGUCACGUUGAUAAUCUUAUCUCCGGUGUUACCAGAGGUUUCCGAUACAAGAUGAGGUUCGUGUACGCUCAUUUUCCCAUCAACGCCUCCAUUGGUGGUGAUGGC
rnacentral:lncRNA from 1 species